CUCAUCACUUUCCCAGCACACACACGCUCGGUUUAGCCAGCUUCGGCACUCGGCACCCGAACGAACGUCGCACGGCCCAAGAAAACAAAAAGACAAAAGCUGCGAAUGGGCUCGCGUGACAUGGUGCCCCCCGCACGUCACUCGGAAACCCACGGGGGUUCCUUUCCCACCCACGACGUCGCCAACAAAGAAGGAGCCGAAAUGGAUGGGGGUGCACCCAGCAUUCAUUCUGAAUCAGAGGGUGUCUACCAGCCUCGCCUGCAGUGCAGUCUCGCCUCUAAUCUAAGUUGUCUUGUGGUUGUUGUUGUUUGACUUGCAUCCCACUGGGAUUUUUGCACACAGCGUUGGUGUACGGUGCUUUUUUCUGCAAUAUUUUGCUGUCUUUUCUUGGAUUUUCUGUUUGCACUUAGUAACAUAUUCACUUUAAGAUGUUUUUUGUUCAUGUUUUAGUUUUUUGUUUGUUGCGGUUGCACCCGAUUCAAGAACCGAAUGGCUCACAGGGCUAUACCUAAUACAUGAACUUGAACUCGACCCCUGUAAUUCCAUUCUCUGCGAGUCAUCAUCAAACAACAUCCUCAAAUCUACAAAGCUAUCAACCCCUUAUCAGUGCCCUGGCUUAGUACAGACCGUUUCAGACCUUAUUGGUCACCCCGUGCCCCGUAUAAAUAUCAACGUUCAUCCCAAGCUGUAGCCAUGGAGUCAACAUUGGGGGGGGGACCCAAAUGUUCCAGGAGGUCUGGGGACCCCCCCCCCCCAGAAAAAAAAAUCUAAAUUUGAAAACUCAUUUCCUGCCUAAAAUAUUUAAAAAAAUUCACCAACACAUGGGAUGGACUUUUUAUUUAUUUUUAACAAUAAUGUCUAAUAGUGUAUUGUAUUACAUUGCUGUUUUUUCUUUUUUUACCUUUUCUUGUUUCGUUGCGUGUAAUGGCAGAGAUUAAGGAUUUAUAAAGUACAACCAUAACCACAAUCAUAGAAAUAGAAAUAUAUUUUAUAGCAAUAUAUUGGGGGGGACAUUUUGAGCAUAUUUGUAUAUACACCACGCUACACAAUACACUACACCACAGCACAAACUACACUAUACACAACACUAUAGACUACACUAUACACCACACCACUACACACUAUACUACACACUACACUAAUUUACACUACAUUGUUAAAGCCUCAUGUCGGUUCUUUGCUGUCGGUCCCCUCGGUGUGGAAACUCUCUAAUCCCGUGGCACAUCUGCGACAGGAAAUGCACUGUGACUUCUAAGAAACAUCCGAAGGUUUCUCUCUCUGUCUGGGUCAGACUUUCGAGUUUGACCCCGCACCUCUUGAGUUGUUCAAUUGUCUACACAUUUUGCCAGGUUAUGACAUCGUUAUUAAAUCCUUUAUAUUAAGUUCGCUUGCUUGCUUAGGACCGUGCAAAUAUUUCGGUCGUUUUUUAACCCACUUCCCGUGAUCCAAUCGAGCUGACAUUUUGCACACAGACUCGUUGUGCGUGACAAUUAAUUUUCGUGAAAAAUGUUUUCCAAAAUUUUACACUGUUUAGGGAAUUUUUUUAAAAUAUUUAAUUACCAAUUGUUUAAUGCUGCCAGACAAUCAUCUGACCCAUAGGUGGCAGCCAUCUCAAGCCAGAGGACGAGAGGACUCUAGCCGCCCCGAUGCCACGCAUAUAAAGGAUUUAUAGGGAAAAACUUUGUUUUUACGGGUUAAUUUUUUGUUGUUGUAUGUUUGUGUUCUUGUGUUGCACCAUGCGUCGCCCCACGUGCUCACGAGGUUGUGUCGGGGAAUUCAAGUGAGCAGGCGAUUGGCUCAGCUCUGCGACAUCGGCUGGCCAAUGUACAGAAUAGCCCAAAAGUCAGGACCACAUACAGUUAUUACAUUUGUUUCUUGCAGCACCAGCUUUCACAUAUUUUUAAUGUUUAUUCUUUGAGUUAAUGUUUUAUAGAUCGUCAUUAAUAUCUAUUUUUGUUGUUCCUUUUCAGAUGACUCUUUAAAAAAUAAAAAUAUACCCAAAGACCAAUGAGUUGAAUUCAUUUCACAAACGCAUGCUAAAGAAGGCAGCUGUCAUUAACAGAAACAAUCCUACAUUCGUUUCAAAAGAUAAUUCAUGCAUGCAUUAAUGUCAAUGGUCGUCAAUUUGAACAUUUGCUCAAAUUAAUUAGAUAACCCACACCUACGAUUAGCAAGGUUGCCUAGUUAUGGUGUGAAAUAAGUUCAACAUACGUACACACAACCCUUUGUGAUUUGCUAAAAUAAAUAUACAGGUGUGUGCCCUACCUAACUUUUGGGCCACCUUGUUAAAUAUUG